UUACUUGUCUGGACUUGCACAUCUCUCCAUGCAUAGUGUGUUGAGAAGUCCCCAGGAGUUCUUUGAGCUACUCAGCCCACCUGUUCCCAGAGACCUCAGAACCCACUUCCAGAAUCUCUUGCUCCCUGACCCUGUCUUCUAGGUAGAGUGUUUUCUUUCUCAGCCUUGGGUGCCCCCAUGAGAUAGUGCUGUACCGCAGUUCUGGCGGUAUGUAGAGCCAUGACCUCUAAGCCUGCAGAUGCUGAGGGGUCAGGUUGCAGGCAGCCAGUCAGAUCUGUGCCUCCGAGAACCACUGUUCUUUCCUCUGAUUUUCCUGACCUACCUCAUCUUCUCUAUUCUCUAAUAGUGCCAGAACUUGGGGAAGCUUACUACUGUCCAGAUUGGCCAUGAUAACUCUGGACUGUAUGCCAAAUGGCUGGUGGAGUAUGUGAUGGUCAGGAAUGAGAUCACAGGACAUACCUACAGGUUCCCGUGUGGCCGGUGGUUAGGGAAGGGCAUGGAUGAUGGAAGCCUGGAGCGGAUCCUAGUUGGGGAGCUGCUCACAUCCCAGCCUGAGGUGGAUGAGAGGCCAUGCCGGACCCCGCCGCUGCAGCAGUCCCCCAGUGUCAUCCGGAGGCUUGUUACCAUCUCACCCAACAACAAGCCCAAGCUGAACACUGGGCAGAUCCAGGAGUCCAUCGGGGAGGCAGUCAAUGGCAUUGUGAAGCACUUCCAUAAGCCUGAGAAAGAGGUGAGCCUUCCUGCCCUCCAAUCCAGGGCCUUACAUUGAAUAAGAGAGAAUAAUUUUGUUUUUCCGAUUAUCUUGUUAUGCUCUUCCAGGCCCAUGUGCUGUGGACACCCUAGAGUCUUGUAGAGUGUGUGCCUCAGCUAGUUGGAGAUGGAGCAGACUCCUUCCUCUGGGGGCCUUUGCCUCAGGUUACCCUGUUUUCCCUCCAUACUGAUGACCCAAUAGAGUCCCCGGGCCCCUAGUGAACAGUGCCUAUUCCUGUCCUCUUCUAGAUUUGCCUGGGUCUCCUUGAAUAGUGGCCACACUGGCUUUGUCCUCCAGUGGAGAAUCUCCUUGUGUGUGACCCAGAUCUAUCAUCUCUUCUUUCAUCCAUUUAUUCAGCAGCUCUUCACUGGGAGCUGCUCUGAACCAGGCACUGUGCCAGGUGUUAGGGAAACAGACAAAGUCCUAGCCUGUCUUUUGCAGCCCUCCCAACUCUGGGCUGUGGGUUUAGGGAUGCAAUGGUGGGAGGGCAGCUCGGCUGAGACAAGCCUGGCACCCUCCCCUGUUUCCUUACGUAGCGAGGCAGUCUGACGCUGUUGCUCUGUGGAGAGUGUGGCCUUGUCUCGGCCUUGGAACAGGCUUUCCAGCAUGGAUUUAAAUCGCCCCGGCUCUUCAAAAAUGUCUUCAUUUGGGAUUUCCUGGAAAAAGCACAAACCUAUUAUGAGACAUUAGAGCAGAAUGAAGUAGUCCCUGAGGAAAACUGGCAUACAAGAGCCCGGAACUUCUGCCGAUUUGUCACUGCAAUCAACAAUACUCCCCGGAACAUCGGCAAGGAUGGCAAGUUUCAGAUGCUGGUGUGCUUGGGAGCCAGAGAUCACCUCCUACACCACUGGAUUGCCCUGCUGGCUGACUGCCCCAUCACUGCACACAUGUAUGAGGAUGUGGCACUGAUCAAAGACCAUACACUUGUCAAUUCCUUGAUUCGUGUGCUGCAGACAUUGCAGGAGUUCAACAUCACGCUGGAGACGUCCCUUGUCAAGGGCAUCGACAUCUGACCUCCCAGCACCAGCCAGCAGCAGGACUGAGAAAGACUCACCCUGCAGCUCUGACCUUUCUUCCCAAAGGGACUUUAGCGAUUGUGCAGGAGUAGGAGACAAAAUGUACACUCACUGUAAAAAGAAAACUAGAGGAUUUUUGGAAUAAAUAAUCUAUUUUAGAGUUUAUUUGCUGAUUUGCUUUUUACACACUUUCAUGUGAAAGAGUGAUAGGGAGAGGGAGCGAGGCUGGUGCCGCUUAUUUUGAAGCUGGUGCCCUCCCUCGCCGUGGCCACAUGCUGGAAGCCUGAGGCCUCCCUGGACUGAGCCUGUGGCACUGCGUGCGGGACAGUUAUGUUUCCUUGCCCCGUCGCAUUAAUGAGGCCCUUCCACAUCAUUUUUAAACUAAUGUUUUUCUAUAUUAACAUUAUUAUGGAUAUUUGGCUUUCAUAGGCCACACACAGGUGUGCUGCGCGGGAAGCCCCAUGCUCCAAUCAAAGGGAUUUUUAGUAGUGCCUCUAAGCAAGCACUGAUGAGUCAGUCCCACGUAUUUUCUUUUUUGUCAGUAUUAUUUGGGAAGGAGACAUGCCGGGAUGUGUCAUCGUGCCAAAUACCACAUUUCCUGUUGGCACAGUUUCACAGAAGUAAACAUAAGCAUGUUUUAACAGGUUUUUCUUUUCUUUUUUCUUUUUUAAAAUGUUUUAUUUAUUUAACCCGCCAUUGUGUGUUUUUAAGUAUUUUCUUUUUUUAAGGAAAGGAAAAGCUUGUCACAAUCUAACUGGCUAUGUUAUUAUUAUUAAAUUUAUGUUUUGCAACUUAGAAACCAGCUACAUACAGUAUGGCCCACUUAAUAAAACACCUGAAAC
rnacentral:sRNA from 1 species